UUGGAGGGCAGGUCGGGUGCCAGCAGCCGCGGUAAUUCCAGCUCCAAUAGCGUAAAUUAAAAUUGUUGCAGUUAAAAAGCUCGUAGUUGAAUUUCUGCUGCAUUGCUUUUGCUCCUUUACCAGUCUUUGCAUUGUGGCUUAUUUCGGACUUUGUUUUACAAUGUCCGGAUGUUUACUUUGAGAAAAUUAGAGUGCUCAAAGCAGGCUUUCGCCUUGAAUAGUUUAGCAUGGAAUAAUAAAGUAGGACUUUGGUUCUAUUUUGUUGGUUUUAGGUACCAAAGUAAUGGUUAAUAGGAACAGUUGGGGGCAUUCGUAUUUAACUGUCAGAGGUGAAAUUCUUAG
rnacentral:rRNA from 1 species